CCUUAGUUUCCCUCGUCUGUCUGAAAAAGUUGCUAUUGGUCGUUCCUGGGUUGCUCAGGCAACCUGUACAUCCCCAUACCCCAGACCUACUUCUUACUUGUGCAAUUUCUUGUAGAACAAACUGAAAUGAACACAUCUCAAAGGAAAUGAAAUAUUAACAGAAAAAAUAGAUCUGUGCCAGAUGAUAACAUAUGCCACAGAACAGGAACUGCUUGGAAUCACAAGAGAAAAUGCUUGGCAAAACCCGACAGCCUCAGUAGAUUUCUGAAUGGUGAUUUUUUUCUUUUGUUAACCUAAACUUAAAAAUUGCAAGCUGC